GGGGGGUUGGGGUGGGGUUCAGUGUGUUUACUUUACAGCCUGCACAAACUAAAAGCUUUAUCGUGGACCGCUUAAAUUGUGACUGCCCAAAUGUUGAUAUUUCAGUCCACCUCUAUCUUGAGAAAACAACUCACGGUGGAUCAGCAUUUGUGAACAGAUUCUGUUCGACCUUAUGGUUUCACGCUGGAAGUCAUUACGGUCAAGUAUCCUGCCCCCUGGAGGAUUGGAGGGGAUGUAACAGCGAAAAGCUCCAUCUGGAAGCCGCUUCCAAAAUGUCUCCGUCAGACAAAAGGCGUCAGUGACAGUCACCUGGAAUCUCGGCGACAACAACAAUUAAGAAGAGAGGUCGCACAUAAACGAACAUAUGUGCUGCUGAAGAUGAGGAGACGACAGUAAUUAGAGUACAGUAAUUAAAUCACCAGCAGACGGCGGAGAAGCACACAGCUCCGUUACGGACGCCGCGGACAAGCGGCGAUGGCACUCGUGGGAGAGACACGCAAGCAAACGCGUGGACACACAAACUCACGCUAACAAAUACACACAGACCCCCCCCAAAAAAACACACAAGCAACAUAAAGUACACACAGAUACAUGCAUGCACACAGAAGUAUGUCACACAUGGAUGUACACACAUUUUCAGACGAACCCUACACUUCCACAAUCACACGCACACACACGCAGUCACACACAUGCAUGCAAACACACACAAGGACCUACAUAGUGACAAAUACCCACUUCCACACAUGUACACAGGUACAAACACAAAAACACACUGGCAGCGAGGCAUAUACACACACCCACACAAUCACAGAUACACGAUGUUGCAAGCGCAGACAUGUACAAAUGGAUACAGACAGGCAUGUGAACACACAAAAAGUGACACAAACGAACACCCACUCCCAAUCAGACAGACAUAUACGUACACAUACAUCAUGCUACAAGUUGCUCAACAAAUGACUUCCCAGCCUCUGUUAAAGCGACACACUUAGUUGGUGUUUUUAUUCAUUUUUGAUCCCAGCAGCUCCUCUCGCUCCACCUGAGGGACACACAUGCGUUUGCCACCAAGGCCAACAAAGAAGAUUUCCUGUGGUCACACGGCGGGGUUGGUCGUCUCAUCUGAGGAACAGCAUUGUCAGCUUUCGUGUUGCACGUUUGAAGGCCAAAGUUCGCACAGUUGAGCGCCAAAGCUUGCAAAAGGCCGCAAAAUGGACAUCGCUAACUUUUUACGAGGUAUCAUAACAGAACAACGAGUUUUACUUUUUUUCAUGAGCUUUUAAACCUUUUUUUUCUUUUAUCUAGUGUUUUUAUUUAUGUAAUGGGAAUUACCUGGAUAUUCAGUGAAAUGUAAUUUUGCAAUUUUGUCAACAAGGAAAACCUUGAAAUUCUA